rnacentral:rRNA from 1 species
GUAAGGAAUAUUGGUCAAUGGAGGGAACUCUGAACCAGCCAUGCCGCGUGCAGGAUGACUGCCCUAUGGGUUGUAAACUGCUUUUGUCCAGGAAUAACUACCACUACGUGUAGUGGCUUGAAUGUACUGGAAGAAUAAGGAUCGGCUAACUCCGUGCCAGCAGCCGCGGUAAUACGGAGGAUCCGAGCGUUAUCCGGAUUUAUUGGGUUUAAAGGGUGCGUAGGCGGCUCAUUAAGUCAGGGGUGAAAGACGGCAGCUCAACUGUCGCAGUGCCUUUGAUACUGAUGAGCUUGAAUGUGGUUGAAGAUGGCGGAAUGAGACAAGUAGCGGUGAAAUGCAUAGAUAUGUCUCAGAACUCCGAUUGCGAAGGCAGCUGUCUAAGUCAUUAUUGACGCUGAUGCACGAAAGCGUGGGGAUCGAACAGGAUUAGAUACCCCUGUAGUCC